AGCACACCCUAUCAGCUUAAAUCACAAGCCAUGGAGCAGAAUCGAUGUGACCAACGAAACAACUAUUGCAGACUUGGCUGGGCUAGACCCCUGCGACAUCAUGGAUUUUCAGCUAUUAUGGUACGGCAUUGGUGUCAUCGUGAAAAAGAUUCUGAAACUAACUCCUAAAGAUGCUGCAGCAAUGGUGAAAACCAUGUAUGGAGCCAUAUUUAUCUGAAUAUUCAUCACUAAAAGAUCCCAAGAGUUUUACAGCAAAGGAAUAUCAAACGAAGUCCAAACGGAAUAAACUUUGCGAUGAUUUUUCUUGGACCAGAAGAAAUCCACGGAGCUUCGAGAGGAAGGCAGGAGAUGGCCAAGGAGGCCACAAGCUUGCCAGGCGCACCCCUGGGGAGGGGCGCACCCUCAGGGCUUGUGGACCCCUUGAGGGUCUCCUAACCCUAAUCUUUAGCCUAUAAAUUCCCAGAUAUUCCCAAAUCAUGAGAAGCGUCCACUAAAAUACUUUUCCGCCGCCGCAAUCCUCUGUUCCCGUGAGAUCCCAUCUUGGGGCCUUUUCCGGCGAUCUGCCGGAGGAGGAUUCGAUCACGGAGGAUCUCUACAUCAAUCUUGCGGCCCUUCUGAUGAUGCAUGGGUACUUUACCACAGACCUACGGGUCCAUAGCUAGUAGCUAGAUGGCUUCUUCUCUCUCUCUCUUUGAUCUUCAAUACAAUGUUCUCCUCGAUGUUCUUGGAGAUCUAUUCGAUGUAAUACUUUUUUGCGGUGCAUUUGUUGAGAU